rnacentral:rRNA from 1 species
AUGGAAGGACCAGAAGGUGAAGGAGUAGGGCACAAGACACCGGGGCGUGCCAGGGGGCCCAUGCGUGCCCUGGUGGGUUGUGCUCACCUCGAGGCCCAUCUUCGCAUGAAACCGACGCCAAAAAAUCCUAUAAAUAGAGAAACCAUCAGAAAUAACCCUAGAUCAGAAGUUCCACCGCUGCAAGCCUCUGUAGCCACGAAAAACCAAUCUAGACCACGUUUUGGCACUCUACCGGAGGGGGAGGUUAUCACCUGUGACCAUCUUCAUCAUCCCGGCGGCCAUCAUGAUGAGGAGGGAGUAGUCCACCCUCGGGGUUGA